GCUAUCUGAAUUUGCAGACAAUGGAGCCCAUUGCCCUUUCCUGGAUUCCUGUGUUAGAGGGGAAAACAAAUAUAAUCCACUCUGCAAGCUAGUGAAACAUAAAAAAUGAGAAACUAUCCCCGCCAUUUCCUCCACAUAUCUGGAGCCUUGCGGAGGGUACCAUCCCCACUACAGGGAACAUCACACAACACUCGAUCAAAGAGAAGCUGACUAAUAUGUGGUUCGAAUUUCAUUUCAGAAGCUUUAGGGCCAUUUUUGUCCGAGCGGCACCCAGGGAAGUGCUGAGCUUCAUUAUUUGUGACUAUCAAGUUGGCAGUGCACAUCCAGAUCAUUAGCUAUAACCUAGACAAGUAAAUUAGUAUUACUGUAUUAGUAAUAAAGAAUCAAUUUCUCAUUCUAACAUUAAAACGAAGUGAAUCAAAUAGGAUUUUCCAAGUACUGAUACAAUUCAGGGUAAAGAGAUGAUCAAGCAAAAUGAAACAAGUAAUACAAUUGAGCAGAAUGUGAA